CAAGGUUAAAUUCUUAAAAAAAUAAAAUAAAAUCCCACCCUUGCUCCCAGUGGGUGCCCAGGCAGGCCCAGCCCCUUGCUUAGCACAUGCUGGCUCCCAUCUAGGCAUGCCAUUUUGUCCUUCCAGCUUUGUAGCAUAUUGACUCAAGUUCUCCACUGAACUCUCUCUAGUUACUUCCUUUCUGUCCUGCCCCCUACCCCCAGGCUUCCCUGUUUCAGGGUUUGAGACCAAGUGCCAAGAAGAACGUGUGGGGGUUGGGGCUUUCCAAAGGCCUUCUGUCCCCCAGAUUUCCCUCAUCUUCCAGUUAAUGUCCAUGGACCACUCCUCCUUCGGCACCCCAGACUUUCCCCUCACCUGUAUGUUAAGAGCAUGGGCUGCCUGUCCAGUCUGAUGGAGGCCUGGCAGGCAGAACUGGGCCCAUGUCUUGGGACUCUACAUGAUCAUGGGUGUGACCCAGGGUGGUAUCCCAGUUGGGGUGGCUUCAAGUUCUCAGCCACCCUGCUGUGCUCUGCCUCCAGUACUGCCCACGACCCAUUAGUUUCCCUGGCUGUGUGCCCAACUCCGUGGUGCUUCAGCAGAUGUGGCCGUCCACAGAGAUCAGCUAUCUUAGACCUCUGACCACGCUCACCUCCUAUACUGAGAACAGACUCAAGGCAAGAGGCAGAGCUGGGGGGCUCAGGGAGGGCUCCACUGUCCCCACCGUCUGCCAGAUGCCCCCUCUUGUGCCCUCUCCUCUAUAGCCAGAUGCAAGCCUGGAUGACCUAUGGCUACAGCGCCACAGGUGGUCCAAGUGGCACAGUAGGCUGAUGCAGUGGCUUCAUGGGAAGUCUGAGGAGGAAGAGGAAGAAGAGGAGGAGGAGGAGAAGGAACUGAAAAUAGACUGGAUCUCAGCUUCUCUGAGUUCACCCAGGAUGUAUUCUGACCAACAGUUAGAUUACUGGGAGGCAGAGGCUGGGGUAUGCAUCCCAGGCUGCCACAGGCAGGGUGGGCUCAGUGCCCAAAACCCAGAGAAGUGGGACUGAAGUUGCUGUCACUUCCCCUAGAGCGCCAUGGACUUGAUUGGCGAGUCCCAGAGCUUCCAUGAGGCCCCCAGGACCAAAAUCUACUUUGGCUCCCAGUACCACCAGGGGCAUUCACUCUGGGAAGAGCGCUAUGGGCAUCUGCCCAGGUUCCUGCACUCUUUCGUCAUCCAGAACUGGUUCAAAAAGCUGUUCCCCAUCUUCACCCUGGAGGUGUGGGGGGGCCUGGGAAGCUGGGAAACGUGGCCUGGGAUGGGGUGUGGGGAGAAAGCAGGAGCCUGCCUGAAUGUGAAACAGGGAGCAGGGUCUCAGCCUACCGUUCUGUAGGCCUACCCUGAGAUGGGCACAGUGGAGGGCCUGGCCUCCAUGUUGGUGGACCUGCUGGCAGAGGCCAUCUGGGAAGACCGUGUGCAUAUCCUAAAUGCACUGCUGAGACUGCUGCCUGAUGUGAGCAGUGACCUCCACAGUCGGCUGCAGAGCAACCUCUUGCACUUGCUCAACUUGGACAACCCCCCCAGCCUCCAGGUGGGUUCCUUGACACCCUCCACCCCCACCGUGUUUCUCCCACCAACCAUUGUCCCCACCUGUGCACAGGACCACAUUCAGAAGCAGUUUGUGAUGCUGGCACUGCAGCUGCUGCUGGCCUGCUCCCUGGAUUCCCGUGAUGUGGUGCUAGAGCUCAUGUCCUACUUCCUCUACUCUCCAGCUUCCGACCGGUAAGUGACACUCCUGACCCAUCCUCCCUACCAGCUGGGGAGGCUGGAAUAAGCCACAUGCAUUUGUCCUAGGCCAGAGCUCAAGAAGCUGCUGAAUGGUCUGGGCCUUCGGGACCCAGAGGGCUUCCUGUUCAAGGAGAUGAUGACCUGGGUCCAGGGCUCCAAACUUAAUUCCAAGGCCAAGCUGCGCUUAUACUGCUGCCAGAAGCUGGAGGGCAUGAUCCAGCAGCUGAAGGUCUGGUGCACAUGGCCUAGCUGGGCUUCUCCAGAGGCAGCCCUGGGGUCCCCUGGGCUACAGGGAUGCCUGCUUUGGCUUCCUGCUCAGGGGUGGGGCACCCGGUCCCUGGGGCUGGGAAUUAGGCAAAAGGGAAUUUCAGUAGCCAAGGAGCAAGGAUGCUUCUUAGACUGGCCACUUCCUCUACAGAUGGAAACUUUACAGCCAUCUACAGCUCAGUUGUCAAUGGUGCUGCCCAAAGGCUCUGAUACCUGGCCGCCUUCCUUUCCUCCCAGGGAGGACCAGUCACAGGCUUCAGCAGUCUCAGGGGCUCCUUCGAGCAUCUUCUGGCCGCAAGCCUCUCAGGCGCUCCUCCAUGUCCUGGAGCCUCCCUUGCUUGUGGUGUCCCCCACAGAAUCUAAAGCUGGAUCCCCAGAGCCCCAGGCUCACUUUUACACUGGGCAGACCAGGCGGUCGCUCUCAGAGACGCUGAAGAGCUUCUGCUCGGUGCCUGAGCCCUCCAUGCCCACUGCACCACAUGGCCUGCCACAGCCGCUGGAAAAGACCGACUGGUCGAAAUGGCAGAUGCUGGACCUGGGCUACGUCGAUGCACUCAACCACUUCUGCGAGCAGCAUCAAGUACAGCAGCAGAGUUUGAUCCAGAAGGAAACCGAACAGCCACCCCGCUCUGCAUCCCCGCGCCCUCCUGUGCCUAACACUGUGGUGGCGCCACCCAGGGAUCAAGGGUGAGUGCAGCGAGGGGGCCCCCUGGCCGGCAUGGGCAGGUGAGCAUUGUCUGUCUGACCUGACUCCUUCUCCCAGGCACUACCCCAUACUUAGACUGCAGGAAGCCAAGGCUCGGAGCUCUGGGAUGAGAAUGAAGGGUGAGUGGGCUCAAGGGUGGAGACUGGUCCCUGGUCCCACACCCUUUCCUCAUCCCAGCCUUGGCUGGUGGUCUCAUUGGCCUGCCUGCCUGCUCCCAGGCCGUGUGAUGUCACAUCUCAGCACCCACUGUGCCCGUUCACUGGACCGUUCCAUCCGGGUGCUAAAGCUGCCCCUGCCGAGAGUGGAGCUGCAGCCCUUCCCCCCAGGCUGGCCCGCACCCCCUCGUGCCCUGCCCCCGUUGCUCCUGCAGCCCACCCUGCAGCGCUACUUUCUGCCCGAAGAUGCGGAUCCUGACAGCUACAGCUGACCUGGCAGGCACGGUGGGUCCUGCGUGUCAAUCCCGCCAAGUUGAAUUGCAACAACACUUGUGUCUUCUAUGUUCCCUGGCAUAGGCCUGCA
rnacentral:lncRNA from 1 species